GUUACUUGCACACAGUCAAACUGUUGACUUAAAGGGUGUAUAUUGGAUGUUAGCCCAGACGAAAUGUUCAGAGUAAGCCACAUGACAGAAGACCUGGAACACUGCACUGUCUCUGUAUUCUCAUCUUUUGGAACAGAAUGGAGGAUAACCAUGUGAUUUCUGUUACAAAAAGUGAUAAUAAAGUAAAUAUUGUCGGAUGCCACAUUCUACACCUUGUGUUCUAACCUUGCUCCAUGGAUGUGCUAACUAUUCAUAUCAUGGAGGACUCGUCUGACAGUGCAGUUUUUCGGGUCCAGGUUCAGUGUGCUGAUCCUUUCCUGCUAAACUAUUGGCUCCAGAAGACCUUCUUCAACAAUGGGGAAGUCCAGCAGAUCAACACCCUGAGGAUAAACGGCUGUCGUGGGCUAGUGUUUGUUCUGAGGGUGCUGCAUCGUUCUUCACGCCUCUCUAAUUCCCAUUAUUGGUGCCCUUUCCUAGUGACACUCUGCCUCGAUGCCCUGGCAUUUCACUACCACCUCCCCUCUGUGCCCCACUGGAAUGGCACCCUUCGAGAGGCGAUGAGAGGAAACAGCCUGGAGCUCAGACGCUGAGAGACUAUGAGAUUUUGCGGCUUACAGAUCCUAUUCGUUUCAGAUGGUCACUUAUUAAAAUAAGGCACUGCAAGUAGUACAUCUUACCAUUGUAAAGGUAGUACGUCCCGUCUUUGAACACAGCAACGGCGGGAACAUCCUGCAGAGUGACUGUCUUUGGAAAUAAUCAAUAAUGAAUUGAAUCAAUCUGUUUUCUAAGAAUCUGAUUAUUUUACAGAGGUAUAGUAUGCAAGAAUCUUACCUUUGGAAGGACUUCCUCAGAUGCAGUGAAAAAAUAUGUGUGGACAAUAUACUCAG